rnacentral:rRNA from 1 species
GACGAACCGUGCGAACGUUGUUCGGAAUCACUGGGCUUAAAGGGCGCGUAGGCGGGUCUUCAAGUCUGUGGUGAAAGCCCCCGGCUCAACCGGGGAAUGGCCGCGGAGACUGGAGACCUCGAGGGGGGUAGGGGCGCGCGGAACGCCGGGUGGAGCGGUGAAAUGCGUUGAUAUCCGGCGGAACUCCGGUGGCGAAAGCGGCGCGCUGGGCCCCGUCUGACGCUGAGGCGCGAAAGCCAGGGGAGCGAACGGG